UGGCUCUCGCAUCGAUGAAGAACGCAGCGAAAUGCGAUAAGUAAUGUGAAUUGCAGAAUUCAGUGAAUCAUCGAAUCUUUGAACGCACCUUGCGCCCGGUGGUAUUCCGCCGGGCAUGCCUGUUCGAGUGUCACGUUAACCCUCAUUCAUAUGGUGUCACAGCCGCAUGAAUGGAUUUGGUUGCUGCCGUCGCCGGCUCAGCCUAAAUGAAUUAGCUUUGCGUCUAUUAGCGCGCUCGGCGUGGUGUGAUAAUUAUCUUCGCCCGCCUUAGGCCGCUUCCAAUGGCGCUGCUUCUAACGGUCUCCUGCGGACAACACUCUCAAAGCUUUGGCCUCGAAUCAGGUAGGACUACCCGCUGA
rnacentral:misc_RNA from 1 species